AAAAAGCAUAUUUCCCUUAUGUUAGGAGGUCAAAAGAGCAUAUUUCCCUAAACAUAGGGGGUCACUUUUGCCAUUUUUUUUAAUAGGGGGCCAAAAUCGCAACAUUUUGAAACUUAGAGGGCGAAAAAUGAAGUUUAGCCUAAUUUCUAUUACGUGUUACUAUAGACCAUGAAUUGCGUGAGGAUUUUCUGAAUCUAUUCAAACAAUUACAAGAAGAGUCCAAAGGCGACGAUUCCUGUAAUAAAUAUUCCGUAGAUUUAGCAGUUGAGAUUGAAGUUGAAGCGGCAUCAGGACACGGGUUGGCUUCAUCACAGGUCAAUACUAUUCAAGCUAACCACACCUGAAUACAAUCACCAUGAUAGUGUAUUUGAAUCAAACAUGUACUUUUUUUGCUGAUACUAAUGAAACAAACACUGGAGGCAGUGCCUGACUUCAUUGAAGAUGAUCCUGAUUUAGAGAUAACGUCAAUUGCAAUAUUACCAAUGAAUUCAGAAGAGUUAAUGAAAGAACAAACAUUGGAUCAACAAUGUUUGAUGAACCAAGAACAUCCGCUCGGAGAAACAUACAUUACCUUCAAACAUUAUUCGGAAAAUAAUUUGGAGGGUUCAACGUCAGAGAAAACGGUAGAAACAACUUUGUCCACCACUUCAGGAACAAAGAAUAAGUGGCCCAUACAAUUAGUUACUCCUAAACAA